GAUGAACGCUGGCGGCGUGCCUAACACAUGCAAGUCGAGCGUGAUUAAGUGGAGUGAGGACUUCGGUCUGAGUGAAACUUAUGAAAGCGGCGGACGGGUGAGUAACGCGUGGGCAACCUGCCCCAUACAAAGGGAUAGCCACUGGAAACGGUGAUUAAUACCUUAUAAGUCGGUAGUCUCGCAUGAGAUAGCCGACAAAGAUUUAUCGGUAUGGGAUGGGCCCGCGUCUGAUUAGCUAGUUGGUGAGGUAACGGCUCACCAAGGCGACGAUCAGUAGCCGACCUGAGAGGGUGAUCGGCCACACUGGAACUGAGACACGGUCCAGACUCCUACGGGAGGCAGCAGUGGGGAAUAUUGCACAAUGGGCGCAAGCCUGAUGCAGCAACGCCGCGUGAGUGAAGAAGGCCUUCGGGUUGUAAAACUCUGUCCUAUGGGAAGAAACAAAUGACGGUACCAUGGGAGGAAGCCCCGGCUAACUACGUG
rnacentral:rRNA from 1 species